CCAGUCGUGGCCUAGUGGAUAGGGUGAUUGACUGGAGACCAAAAGGUCGCUGGUUUGAUCCGGCUCCAGCUCCACUGGG